GAUGAACGCUGGCGGCGUGCCUAAUACAUGCAAGUCGAGCGCACGGACGAGAAACUUGUUCCUCUUGGGUUAGCGGCGGACGGGUGAGUAACGCGUGGAUAACCUGCCUAUAAGCCUGGGAUAACUUCGGGAAACGAGUGCUAAUACCGCAUAAUAUCUUUAACCACAUGGUUCAAGAGUGAAAGACGCACUUGCAGUACCUAAUAGAUGUAUCCCGGCUUCUUUACUAGGUUGGGAAGUAAACGCCCAACCAAGGGAACGAUGCAUAGCCGGCCUGAGAGGGUGACCGGCCACACUGGAACUGAGACACGGUCCAGACUCCUACGGGAGGAAGCAGUAGGGAAUCUUGGGAAAUGGGCGAAGGCCUGACGGAGCAACGCGGGGGGAGUGAUGAAGGUCUUCGGAUCGUAAAACUCUGUUAUUAGGGAAGAACAUAUGUGUAAUUAAAUGUGCACAUCGUGACGGUACCUAAUCAGAAAGCCACGGCUAACUACGUG
rnacentral:rRNA from 1 species